rnacentral:rRNA from 1 species
UACCAGACUCCUACGGGAGGCAGCAGUGAGGAAUAUUGGUCAAUGGGCUAAGGCCUGAACCAGCCAAGUCGCGUGAGGGAAGACGGUCCUAUGGAUUGUAAACCUCUUUUGUCGGGGAGCAAAAGACGCCACGUGUGGCGUUCCGAGAGUACCCGAAGAAAAAGCAUCGGCUAACUCCGUGCCAGCAGCCGUGGUAAUACGGAGGAUGCGAGCGUUAUUCGGAUUUAUUGGGUUUAAAGGGUGCGUAGGCGGACUGGAAAGUCAGCGGUAAAAUCGAGAGGCUCAACCUCUUUCCGCCGUUGAAACUGUCGGUCUUGAGUGGGCGAGAAGUAUGCGGAAUGCGUGGUGUAGCGGUGAAAUGCAUAGAUAUCACGCAGAACUCCGAUUGCGAAGGCAGCAUACCGGCGCCCAACUGACGCUGAAGCACGAAAGCGUGGGUAUCGAACAGGAUUAGAUACCCCCGUAGA